UAUAAGUGCAGUUAUGGUUUUCCGUGUCCAACAUUUAACCGUUCGUCUUAUUUGGAAAUUUUUUAUGAUUGUUAGUGUUGUUGUUAUUAGAUGACAAAAAUGAAUAAUAUUAUAUGUGUGUUUAAUUUUUCUAUAUUUUUUUAAAAAAUAAGAUAAACGGUUAAACGUUGGAUACGAAAACUCACAAGUAUAUUUCAA
rfam:Oryza sativa Japonica Group DNA, chromosome 2, cultivar: Nipponbare, complete sequence.